GGUCGUGAUUGGCAGAUCUGGCUGCGACAUUUGUCACCCCAUUGAUUGCCAGGGUUGAUUCAGCUGAUCUGGCUGGCUAGGUGGGUGUCCACUUCCUCCCUCACCGCUCCAUGUGCGUCCCUCCUGAAGCUGCACGCUGGGUCGAAGAGGACUGCCUUCCCCGAACAGAGACUGACCGGUCUUUGGUCGAGGGUAUACGAGUAGCUGCGCUCCCCUGCUAGAACCUCCAAACAAGCUUUCUUAUUCUUUAACCCUCUGGGAGUAUGGACCCAGGGUCAUUGUGGGAUACAGAAAGUAGAAGGUCUGGCUUCUGUAAUUGCUUCUUCGCUAAACAUGGGCGAUGA
rnacentral:snRNA from 1 species